AUUAGUUUUUUAAUUGAAAACUGGAAUGAAUGGUUGAACAAAAAAUAAUCUGUCUUAAUUUUAAAAAUAGAAUUUUACUUUUAAGUGAAAAGGCUUAAAUAUAUUAAAGGGACGAUAAGACCCUAUAAAAUUUUAUAAAAAAAAAUAGAUUUUAAAUUAAGAAAUAAAGAAUUUUAUUUUUAAUUUAUUAUGUUGGGGUGACGGAAAUAAAAUAAGUAAUUGUUUAAUAUAUUAAAUAAAUAUUUUUAGUAUAAUUGAUCCUUAUUAAAGAUUAUAAGUAAAAGUUACUUUAGGGAUAACAGCGUAGUUUUUUUGAGAGUUCUUAUCGACAAGAAUAAUUACGACCUCGAUGUUGAAUUAAAAUUUCAUUAAGGUGAAGCAGUUUUAAUAGUAGGUCUGUUCGACCUAUAAAAUUUUA
rnacentral:rRNA from 1 species